UAGAGUAACUCUCUCAAACCAGUCUUGCAAGUUGCCUGAAAUGCUAGCCUGUGUGUUUUACCUUGCCCUGACACUGUCAGCAUCAGCAUCUGGCAAAUUACUUGUAAGCUUUCUUUUUGUGCAAUUUACACAUUAUCACAAGAAGUCACCAAUUUCAUUUCUUCCAUUGCUCUGUUGGUCAGCGUAAAUAGAAACACAAAGUGUAAAUCUCUAUGUUUCUUGUACCUGUGCUGAAAGGAGCAGUUAUAGAUGUGUAUCACCUAAUCUGAAACCAACAGUGUGGUCCAUAGCACCAGGGAGCUAAAGCAGUGACAGCUGUGCUCAGAUGAAGAUUUUUUUUUACUACAGUAGGUUAACUAGGUACCUUAUUAGAGGUAGUGGGGCAUAUAACGUACUGUCAUUGUGCUUCAUGCUCUCUUAGGAUGAUUUGCAAAGCAGCAAGUCAUGUUAAUACUGCAUAAAGAUUUUGGGAAGUUAGCACCAUGUAUGUUGUAGCAUGCUUAUUGUGUUAGCUCCAGCUAAAAUGGGUAUUGGAGAAUAUCUCAGUGGAGAAAAAGAUGCUGAUACAGACAUACUCUGCAGUAAAAUAAUGGAAUCAGCCAAUCUUCUGAAGAAAACUUAGCUAAAAAUACGUAUUCUGUUGGUGGUGGUUGACUUUUCAAUUACAUCAGACCCUGGAAACAGGGCAAAUUUAGUUGGUAUUAAAAGAAAGUAGAUAAUCUCUUUGGUAAUAGGAGCUGUGCUGUGAAUUACUUCAAAUCGCAACUGAAGAUUAUUCAGACCUGAAGUUUGAUUUUUCCUCAUGUUUACUCUGGCUGUAUGGACACAGAGAGAGUAUGGAGGGAACAGAAAUCACCCAGUACGUAUUGAAAAACAGCCAGUUUUUCUGUUAUCAUUUGUGGAACCUUUGCUGGAGUGCAGAAUGGAAAAGUGUAAAAUGAGCGUAAGACUUGCAGACUUUACCCUCAUCCCAAGCAGGAAUGAAAUCCACAGCUUUGAAAAGUCUACUUAGAAGAAAGUUAUGGAAAAAAAAAUCAUUUGUUUCACAGUUUCAUAGAAUGGCAGGGGUUGGAAGGGAUCUCUUGAGAUCACUGAGCGCAACUUGGUGCUAAAGCAGCUUCCUUACAGCCGGUCACCCAGGAAAGCGUCCAGGAAGAUCUUGAAUAUCUCCAGAGGAGAUUCCACAGCCUCUCUGGGCAGCCUGUUCCACUGCUCUUUCACCCUCAAAGUAAAGAAGUUACUUUCUCAUGUUCACAUGGAACUUCCUUUGUUCCAGUUUGUGCCUGUUGCCCCUUGUCCUGCACCUGGGCACCACUGAAAAGAGCCUGGCCCCAUCCACUUGACUCCUGCCCGUUAGAUAUUUUAUCUUCAUUUUGGCUUUCCCAAAAACUUAACGCUUAUACGGAACUCCUGGGAUGGGCCAGGCCAUGCAUGUUACUUCUUAUCUAAGGUAAAAGUUGAAACUUGUAAAAGCAUGUAUUGUCAACUAGUGUCAAGCAUAACCAUGGUUUAUAUGAAGAAAAAUUUUCUAGAGAACUUUUAUGGGAAAAGAAAGCAGCCCAAGCAAAGAGGCAUUUUAUUUUUCACCACCCCCUCAUUUUUUCUUCUUCCUCCACCUUUCUUCUCUUGCAGAAUGUCUCAGAUGUUUGGAGAGAUAACCACAGCUAGUGGGCACAUGGCCACAAUUUCCUCCAUAAUGAGUCUCCAAGCAUUAUCUGAUCAGGAGGAAUCUCAGGUUCUCUCCGUCCUGGGAAACGCUGACACAGUUGAGGCAACUCACCAUCGCUUCCGCAUGCAUGCAGGUUUUGGAGGGGAG